CAAUAGCGUAUAUUAAAGUUGUUGCAGUUAAAAAGCUCGUAGUUGGAUUUCUGGUGGGAGCGAUCGGUCUGGCGCUUAGCGCGAGUACUUGCAUCGUCUCCGGCCAUCCUUGGGGAGAGUCUGUCUGGCAUUAGGUUGUCGGGCAGAGGAUCCUCAUCGUUUACUGUGAAAAAAUUAGAGUGUUCAAAGCAGGCUUAUGCCGUUGAAUAUAUUAGCAUGGAAUAAUAAGAUAGGACUUUGGUACUAUUUUGUUGGUUUGCGUACCAAAGUAAUGAUUAAUAGGGACAGUUGGGGGUAUUCGUAUUCCGUUGUCAGAGGUGAAAUUCUUGGAUUUACGGAAGACGAACUACUGCGAAAGCAUUUACCAAGGAUGUUUUCAUUAA
rnacentral:rRNA from 1 species